UAAUACGGAGGGUGCGAGCGUUAAUCGGAAUUACUGGGCGUAAAGGGUGCGUAGGUUGUCAUAUAAGCUAGCUGUGAAAUACCUGGGCUUAACCUGGGUUUGUCAGAUAGGACUGUAUGACUCGAGUACGGGAGAGGGUAGUGGAAUUUCCGGUGUAGCGGUGAAAUGCGUAGAGAUCGGAAGGAACAUCGGUGGCGAAGGCGGCUACCUGGCCUGAUACUGACACUGAGGCACGAAAGCGUGGGGAGCAAACAGGAUUAGAUACCCUGGUAGUCCACGCUGUAAACGAUGUCAACUAGCUGUUGGUUAUAUGAAUAUAAUGAGUGGCGCAGCAAACGCGAUAAGUUGACCGCCUGGGGAGUACGGUCGCAAGAUUA
rnacentral:rRNA from 1 species